rnacentral:tRNA from 1 species
UGGGGGUAGGAUAAUUAAUCUGUCGGGUUCAUACCCCGAAGAAGAUGUAACACCAUCCCCCCGA